AACCGAACGCCCCAGGGAAGCCGGUCACGAGCGUUACCUGGAGCAAGCCCUGCACCUGAUAUCGCUAACGCAAAGAAAAAUGGGGUACCAGGCCUCAUUCAGGUCAAUGGCCAGCGAAAACGGCCAGAGCCAUCCGGGGACAUUCCUGUUUCGUCCUCGCCCUUGGAAACGGACGAGAAUGCGGCAAUUACGCCCGGUCCGGAUGCCUCUGAAGUGUCCAUGGGUCCUGAUCAGAAAAAGGUGAAAAUCAAAAAGGAAACCGUUCCUGAGGCACUUGGGGAGGUUGCUGGACAGGUUGAUAAAGAAGUCGAGGAUGCCUUAGCGAGGGCUGCCGCUGAAGAAGUUGCCCACAUUAAAGAAGAAGACGAGGAGGAAAGUUCUAAGGCUGUUUUGAAAGCACUCGCGGAGAAAUUUGAACAGACCGCCCUUGAUGCUCAGGAAGAGCCGGAGAAAGAUAUUAGCAUUGA
rnacentral:sRNA from 2 species